AGCGGGAGGUGCCUGUGGAUCUGCAGAGCUUGAGGUCAGCUAUGGCUUUUUCCAUGCACAAGUUCCAGCAACUUGCUGGCAAGAUUGCUGUGAGCCUCAGGAAUCCCUUCUCCCCAUCCUGCCUCUAAGCUCUUCCAAUGAGCUAGAUGUGAAAAUGAUGCUCCUUCCUGGCUCAGCCCCAUCCUGUUUUCAGAGAUGACUUUUCACACCAUCAAGGCCACUUUCUCAGCUUAUUGACAGCUUUAUGAGCACUGUUGGAAAAGCCCCAGCUUCCUUCGUUCCUCGGCGCUCCGGCUUUCCGUCGGGUGAGAGAGAUUGCUUUGUGCCUGGUGGGCUGCAGCAGAGUGAAUAAGCCACAGUUACCGACAGCUGAACUCCACCUCUCCAGGGAAAACCAGCGUGCUGCGUUAUCCUUGUUCCAGCUCAGGAUGCAGCAAACCAUGCUUGGAUAUCCUCUGCUCCGCCCCCCGGUGCUGGCAGAAACCCCUCCUUUUCCAGGGCACUGAUUGCUCUUCUCUCAGCCGUUGCCCACCUGUGUUGUUUGCUGCUGAGCCAGUUCCCACUGAUGCUUUAUUCCCAGCUUUUCAUGUUGCUCCGUUGGGCUGGGGGUGAUGGGGAAGCUCCCUCGUGGGCUGGUCCUCCAAGAGUGGGCCCAAGGGGAAUUGUGUUCACCACCGGUGACUUGGAGCAGCUCUGCUGAGAAUCCCUGCUUGGAUCUAAGGAGAUCUUUGCUCCCAAACAUAGCUGAAAAGUACCUAUCUGAAGUGCAGUGCUCUGCUUUGUGUCUUCCAGCAGGGUUUAACCUGCCUUUAAAGCAGGGUGCAAAUAUGGGAAGAUUUUCCUUACUUUGGCAGCAACAGAGAGAGGUCAACUUAGUGGAUAGAGCCCAUGAGUUUGCCAAGGAAAUGGGACUCUUCUUUCUCUCUCCCCAAAGCUCUCCAGUCUGUGUUGUGCAGAAAAGCUCUCCUUCUUGGAUCAGAUGUGAUGAGAGAAUCUUGGGCAUGGGGAGCUGCCUAAAAAGUGUUAGUGGAACUUAGAGGUGAUCAGUUUUGUCAGCGGAGCUGGCACUCCCUUUCCCAAAUGGGAGAUCCUCAGAAGGCCGUCAGGGUUGCUCUGCUUGAGUUGGAAGUGUGCAGAUUCUUCUUCUGUAAAAAGGAAAUACAAAAAUAGCUUCUGUUUUUUCUUCUUGGUGGUGGUGUCAAAAAAGGGCUUUCCCACCAAAAUUAAUCUUUUGACAUAAAAAAUAGCUGUUUUCAUUUUCUUACUAGUGAUCCCCGCUCGUGUUCCAUCCAUCACCCAUGUGCAGAGCCCUUGCUCCUGCUGGGGAUAUUCGUGCUCCUGUUGGUCUCUCUGCAGUGUUCUCCUGUUAUAUUUCUUCUCAGGUUUAGAUGAUGCCUUAGGAGAUUUUGCUGAGGAUUGGGUACAUUUUGGGACAUGUACAUGCCAAUGUGUGAUGGGAGAUCAGGAUCAGCAGUUUGUAGUAGGAACUCUGCUGUUGAUUUGCUGCUGCAACUACAGAUCUGGGACCUGCUUUGAUAGAUCUGACUGGAGGCAAAAGGGACUUAUUUGUGUCUUUACGCGAGCACCUAACAGACAAAUGGCCACACUUACACCAAAGCUCCUGGCUUGGUGGCUUGGCUAGGGCUGGUUAAGUGGGAUUGACCCUAAAUCAUGGCUAUCUCUGCCCAUUGGGGGUGCAGCACCAGGGUGAGAUCUGCCCUCUCCUGGAUUAUUGCAGUGUAAUCCUCCUCCUGGGAGGAGAGGAGGAGCGAGGGUAGAAAUGCGACCUCUGGGAUCUGGGUGAUGUUCCUGUCAAACCCAUGGAGAGCAAAAGCUCUGUCUGUCCCAGUGCGCAGCUCAGGGCUGUCCAAACCCUGCACCCUGCGGUGGGGCCGAAUGCUUCCAGCUCUCUGGAAGUGCCAGUCCAGCCAUAAUCUGGGGUGUCCAGCACCAUUUUCCUACUGGUCAUGGGAUGAAAUGAGAUGCUUGGCUCCAUAGCCAUGGCAGACAGCUCCUGGCAAAGCAUCCUGAGCCUCUGUGAGCUGAUUGCUGGCAGUUCCCAAAUGCAGGGCCUAAUUCUGUAGUUACAAUUCAACCUUUGGGGUAAUUGUUACGUGCAGGAAAAAGAGACCUCUCAUUUUAUUCUGAACAUACUAUUAACGGGAAGGGGAUUUUCUGUUGUGUUUUGUCUCGCCAACAUCGCUAAUGAAUGUGUAAACACCUCCUGGCAUAGAUUUUCCAGCUUACCGAGGUUGGAGUUCACGCUGCUAAUACACCUCCCCAAACGAAGCACUCCGUUCGUUAACCUUGGGCAGCCACUAAUUAGUGGGUCACUUGCAGGUCAGAGGUGUGCUUGUGCUGUGCUUCUUGGCUGGCUGUUGUGUUAUUACCACAACUGGAAGUGCCACAUGCGGCAGGCCUGCAGAGUGUGUUUGGAAGGCUGGCUGUAUAAUUAGAGGACGUUAUCCCAAAGCAGAGGAUGCCAGCUGACGUUCAAGAGGCAAUAAAAACAGUGAAAUUUUUCCUGCUUCCUUUGCAACAAAUAGACUGUCGCUGAGGUUCAGUGGUUCAAAACAUUCAGCUGUUGCUGUUUAUAGCAGAUUGGGGAUGUUUCCUCGUGGAAAAAUAGCUUGGCAGCCCCACAUCCAUCCAUCAGAUGGCCCAGCAGCACAUCCUGCCCUCAGGUUGGCCACAACUGCACAGCGUAUGCAGCUAAGCAGCAUUGCUUAUGGCAGACUCAGAGGGCGUGAGUUGGUCAUGAGAACAUAACCAUGAGUUUAGUUGAGUAAUGAGUUGUUAAAAUAUUUUGCUUUCCUUUCAUUUGCCCUCAGUUUUCCUGGCGUUUGCUGCUUUCGUUUCCAAGCUUCUUCCCUCUCCACUCCUUUGCAGAGAGUCCUUCGGAGGUGUUUCUGCUUGGCUGAAGUUCUGAAGAGCAGCAUUCUUUCUCACACCAUCGCGUGACUCCUCCUGGGGCCCUCGUCGGUCAUUAAACAUGUUGAGAGCUCUGCCUUUGCUCUUGACACAGCAUUAAGAAUGUGAUGAAACUGCGUUGGAAACAAAUAGAUUGUAAAUAAGCUUGUUCAGUAAAUAUGCACAAACUGGUCUGGCUACAUCCAGGUGUUCUGGCUUUGUCUCUUCUGCAAUACAGAGCUGGGAGGUCUCUGCAAGUUAUUGCACCUGGACGUGUGUUACCUGCUGCUUCUCCACCCUUGAGAUGUACAAUCACAUCAGGACAACUGGUCAGAAUGUGCUGCAGAGCAGCAUUUUUGGUCUCCUUCACUUAGCAGAAAGUGAGUAUAAAUAAAAAAUACUCCUAGUGACAUUUUAGUUUGCUUUUCAGUAGUGGAAGUGACUGCAAAAACCGCGUAGCCAUGGGGAAUUGGGCUCUUCGUGUUUUAUCUGCAGGCUCAAUGUGCCUAUAAAAAACAAUCCCCCUAAACGCAGGGAAGAAUUGGGAGAGGAAGUUGAGAAGUUUUGGAGGAAGAAUGCAUAAAAUGCAGACAGAAAGGAGGCUGAAAUACGAACAUGUGAGACGCUCCAGAGGGUCCCCAGGGUAGCUCAGGAAAGCUGCAGAUCCUGUUUAGUUUGUGAAAUGAAUUAGAAGAGGAACAAAGUUUAUUCUGUGCUGUCGCCAUGUUGUUCUGUACUUAGGAAGAAAUUAAAAAAAAAAAAUCAAACACAAACACACAAAGAAAAGACCUGAAAAGCCAAAAUUCCCCAUUCCAGUUGGCUUCAGGCCUCAGCAAAGAAGUUACAGACUGCCCUGGUCCCCGAGCCGUGUGUGCUCGAGUGCGGGAGGGAUGGAUGGAACUCACAAAAUGCCAGAGGGGAGAAUUACUGCCCUGAAACAGGGGACAAAGGAGUGAAUUAAAAGGACAGGAAGAAAAAGGCACCUCACAGCAUGGAGACACUUGCUCUGUCUCUCCUGUCUGUAGUUGAUGUGUUGAGGAACAGAAGCAGCCGAGCAAUGAGGAACAGACUGUUCCCAUGUCGGACGGGAAGUGCAUGAAAUCCCAUGAGCGAGUCUGUGCUUGCUAAUGAUUUCCAGAUGGCAUCCCAGCCCAGAAGUGUUGUGGUUGUCUGGAUCCACGUUCACACGUUGCAAGGCUUCCACAGAAAAUCAGAGGAUCUCCUUUAAAGUCGUACCUUGGCCUGAACCAAGAGCCUUGGAUGUACAGAUCCAUGUGGUAGGUUUGGCUUUCCCUCCACCGAGAGACAUUAGUGCUCAACCUACGGAAAAAUGUACUUUAGAUGAUUGCACAGAAUUUGCAUUUUUGGCCCUUUUCCACCAGCAGCUCUAUCCAAACUGUGGAGUGUACGUGGAUUUCCAGAAAGCUUUUGUCGAGUUUUCACAUCAAAGGCCCUCGCUGUAAGUUACGGCAGGAGGUGAAGGCCGGUCCUUGUAGCUGGCUGAGGGGUAGGAAUGACAGAGUCAUAGGAUAGGGAAUACGUGGUAAGCUCUCCUGGUGGGAAAAGGUUUGUAGCAGAAUCCCCCGUGGACAAAGCAGAUGAAGUGGCGUAUUUUGCAGAUGAUAGAACUGUGAGGGCAGUCAGCAUUUAUGUCCCUUGGAACAAGUUGUAGGAGGAUACGAUGAUAAGGAAGAAGAGUGCCUGCCUCCACCCUAAAAGAUGAGACACACAGCGGCGUGCUAUCAUCAGGAGAGCGGCAGUUGGCUGGGGUUGUGGCAGAGGAUGGAGCUGUUCCUUUCCCUGCUCAGAAGAGGGCAAUCAGCAGAACCUUAGGGCAGCUCCAAGGGACAUGAGAAUCUUUACAUGUGCACGGAGCAGCCCUGGAAGGAGUGAAAUGAAGAGCUGAGCAAGGAAAGCUGAAGGUGCUGUGCUGUCCCAAGUGUGCAGGCAUGAUGGACAGUUGGUUUGGCAUGUUUUGGACCUCUGAAACACCACGGAGAUGAGGAAUGCUGCAUCGUGGACGUUCUAUGUGGUCAGGCUGUGGCAGGAUUCUGCAUUCCCUCAGCACUUGCUGAGUUUUGUCUGGGGAAAAAGGCUUAGCCUCUUCUCAAGUGGAAGCAUAGAGAUGGGCCAGCACCAGGAGACUUGAAAAUGUGGUGGUGUUCCUGUUCAAUAUGUACCAGGGCUGGCUCAUGUCUUCAUUUGGGAUGAAAGGCAGAAGAGCUCUACAAGACAUGCAGGUGACUUCACCUACUUUUCAGCAAUCUGUAAAAGCCAAGCCUUUAACAAAUGCAUCUUGUCUGCAUGGCAGUAUGAAGUUAUUUGGAAACUUUAGAUUCGUCAGUGAGUUUUCCGGCACUGCUUCUCUGCUGCUGCUCCUAUGAGUUUGCCCUUAUUUUUUCAAGCUGUCAUUUUGUUACUGGUUUUAGUUAGGCUUUUACCUCUGUCUUUACUGGAGGUGCCAACCCACCUGCCCGUGUGCUGUCUAAGAGUCAACAGAUCACUGAGGUUGGGAAAGACCUCUCAGAUCCCCAAGUCCAACCCCAACCCACCCCCACCAUGUCCACUGACCAUGUCCCUCUGUGCCACAGCCCCACGGUCCUGGAGCACCUCCAGGGAUGGGGCUCCCCCACCUCCCUGGGCAGCCUGUACCAGUGCUAAGGGAGACGUCAGCCUUCACAGCUACCAACAUUGAUUGCUUUUCGUCUAACAUAAAAGUUCAUCAUGUUGAAUAUAGGGAUGAAUUUGUAAUGAAAAAAGUGACCGAUUGUCCAAGAAAUAGAAAAGCUUGGUCUCUUCUGAAUGUUGUAUUAAAAUGUACGAGUUCAAACUUC